AAGUCGUAACAAGGUCUCCGUAGGUGAACCUGCGGAGGGAUCAUUAACACGUUUCCAUAACGUUUAACUUUCUACACACCAAAUUGCGUGAAUUCAAUCGAAAUCAACUUAUACCCGACUUGAGAGGGAGAGAACCUGUCUUUAUACACGGAGUGAUGAGUGUGCGUAUUUGUUAUGUUGGCAACAGCAUAACAUUAGGCAUGCGGUGUAUCUAGGCUUGUAAUGCUCGACAUUACGGGAUCUCUCUCAUUCAAGCUAUCAACAAUUAACCAAUGUUCCCUUCAUCGCUGGAACGAACAACACCCCUUUCACCCCUUUAUAACUAACUAGACUGAUAUUUCUUUGAACCAGUGAGGCUUGCUUUACUGUUUCCGAGAUUGAUUAAUAAUCAAAUAUCUAAGCACAACUCUUAGCAACGGAUAUCUUGGUUCUC
rnacentral:misc_RNA from 1 species